GGCAGAAUAUCUUUCUCCACACGUUUCCUGAUGAAGUCACCACACAGACUGCACAUUGUGUGAAGUGCCUUCACUGCCUGCGCAGAUUUAACAGGUAACCUGCCAGUCCCAAGCGUGGAUGAAGGAGGAGAGUUGGGCAUGGGGCUAGCAACUCCACCCUGUAAAACAACCCUUGCUACGGAAACAGCAAAUACAACACAAGUACAAGAGCCUUUUGCGCCUCUAUGCUCCACUGGGGGUAAUUAGGAACAAGAAGAAAUCUUUCUCUGGGAAAACAGUAAUGUCUGCAGAAAAUAUAAAGUAAUAUCAAAGAAAAUGAAAGAGUUAUAAAGUCCUACAGCCUAGCAGAGAGGCAGUAUAUAUAAGUGGUUCACAGUGUCCCGGACAGGAAGAUACAACGUUUCACCACGUUUACCUUCCCUGAUAAAUCAUUUUUGCUAAGUGGCUGCUGGGUGGGCAGGUGGAGUUUCCAGACACAGGCCCCAGCCAGCCUAAAACCAGCAACCUUCGGUUUCAAUGUAAGUACACUAAUCAGAGGACUACAAAGCCUCCUCAGUAUGCAGUUAAAAUUCUCACUUUCAUGGUCUGCAAGGUCAAUACAUCCCUGAGUGACCACAUCUACUGCCAGCAAGACCAUCCGUGGAUUAUUUAAAGCCAAACAUUUUCAUCAUCUAAUGGCUCAUCAUCAAAAUUUUCUGCUGCCAGCCUUUGUUGAUGUCUUUCAAGGAGGACAGCUACUAGUCUUGCAGGAUCAAGGUGUUGUGUGACAUGAUGCUGUUUUCUAACAAGUUUGGGCUAACAUAAAACAGAGUACAUGAUAUUAAGCUAUCUAAUUUUUCCUUUAGGUAAUGAGCAGGAAGACCUAUGUUCGUGCUUCUUCAAAAAACAAAGAAGCGUCCCAUCAAUAACAAUAAAUAAUAAAUUGUUAUAAGCUGAAAUCAAAGAUCACUCUCAUAAACUGAUUUGUUAGGUUGGGAUAGCAAGAAAUAUUUCAAGAAUGAUUAUGUUGUGUUUUAUCAAAACAAAGGUGAUUCAAGAAUAAAGGUAUGGCAGGCACCAUGUUAAAUA